UACGUAGGGGGCUAGCGUUGUCCGGAAUCAUUGGGCGUAAAGCGCGCGUAGGCGGCCAGACAAGUCUGGUGUGAAAGUCAAAGGCUCAACCUUUGAAUGCCGCUGGAUACUGCUUGACUUGAGUCCGGAAGGGGCGAGUGGAAUUCCUGGUGUAGCGGUGGAAAUGCGCAGAUAUCAGGAGGAACACCAAUGGCGAAGGCAGCUUACUACAGGGAUAUUGACACUGAGGCACGAAAGCGUGGGGAGUCAAACAGGA
rnacentral:rRNA from 1 species